AGUGAACGCUGGCGGUAGGCCUAACACAUGCAAGUCGAACGGCAGCACAGUAAGGGCUUGCUCUUACGGGUGGCGAGUGGCGGACGGGUGAGGAAUACAUCGGAAUCUACUUUUUCGUGGGGGAUAACGUAGGGAAACUUACGCUAAUACCGCAUACGACCUACGGGUGAAAGCAGGGGAUCUUCGGACCUUGCGCGAUUGAAUGAGCCGAUGUCGGAUUAGCUAGUUGGCGGGGUAAAGGCCCACCAAGGCGACGAUCCGUAGCUGGUCUGAGAGGAUGAUCAGCCACACUGGAACUGAGACACGGCCCAGACUCCUACGGGAGGCAGCAGUGGGGAAUAUUGGACAAUGGGCGCAAGCCUGAUCCAGCCAUACCGCGUGGGUGAAGAAGGCCUUCGGGUUGUAAAGCCCUUUUGUUGGGAAAGAAAAGCAGCAGGUUAAUACCCCGCUGUUCUGACGGUACCCAAAGAAUAAGCACCGGCUAACUUCGUG
rnacentral:rRNA from 1 species